GUACUGGAGGAGAGGAGGAGGUUGUUGGUCUGGGAGGAGGGAGGAAGGUUGAUGUUGUACUGUACUCCUGGAGGAGAGGUGGAAGGUUGAUGUUGUCCUGGAGGAGAGGAGGAAGGUUGAUGUUGUCCUGGAGGAAAGGAAGAAGUUGAUGGUGUACUGGAGGAGAGGAGGGUUGAUGUUGUAAUAGUCCUGAGGAGAGGAGGAAGGUUGAUGUUGUCCUGGAGAGAGGUGGAAGGUUGAUGUUGUCCUGGAGGAGUGGAAGGUUGAUGUGUCCUGGAGGAGAUGUGGAAGGUUGAGGUUGUCCUGGAGGAGAGGUGGAAGGUUGAUGUUGUACUGAGGAGAGGAGGAAGGUUGAUGUUGUACUGUACUCCUGAAGGAGAGUGGAAGGUUGAUGUUUGUACUGCCUCCGUGGGAGAGGUGGAAGGUUGAUGUUGUACUGUACUCCUGGAGGAGAGGUGGAAGGUUGAUGUUGUCCUGGAGGACAGGUGGAAGGUUAAUGUUGUACUGAGGAGAGGAGGAAGGUUGAUGUUUACUGUACUCUGGGGGAGAGGUGGAAGGUUGAUGUGUCCUGGGGGAGAGUGGAAGCUUGAUGUUGUCUUGGGGGAGAGGUGGAAGGUUGAUGUUGUCCUGGAGGAGAGGAGGAAGGUUGAUGUUGUACUAGAGGAGAGGAGGAAGGUUGAUGUGUUCCUGGAGGAGAUGUGGAAGGUUGAUGUUGUACUGUCUCCUGGGGAGAGGUGGAAGGUUGAUGUUGUCCUGGAGGAGAGGUGGAAGGUUGAUGUUGUCCCGGAGGAGAGGAGAAAGGUUGAUGUUGUACUAGAGGAGAGGAGGAAGGUUGCUGUUGUACUGUACUCCGGGAGGAGAGGAGGAAGGUUGAUGUGUCCGGAGGAGAGGAAGGAAGAUUGAUGUUGUACUGUAGUCCUGGAGGAGAGGAGGAAGGUUGAUGUUGUCCUGGAGGAAGGGGAAAGGUUGAUGUUGUCCUGGAGGAGAGGUGGAAGCGUGAUGUUGUCUUGGGGAGAGGUGGAAGGUUGAUGUUGUCCUGGGAGGAGAGGAGGAAGGUUGAUGUGUGUGCUAGUCCUGGAGGAGAUGAGGAAGGUUGAUGUUGUC
rnacentral:lncRNA from 1 species